rnacentral:rRNA from 1 species
GGGCUACACACGUGCUACAAUGGUUGGUAACAACGAGUUGCGAGUCGGUGACGGCGAGCUAAUCUCUUAAAAGCCAAAUCUCAGUUCGGAUUGUAGGCUGCAACUCGCCUACAUGAAGUCGGAAUCGCUAGUAAUCGCGGAUCAGCACGCCGCGGUGAAUACGUUCCCGGGCCGUU